ensembl:rRNA 5S_rRNA 5S ribosomal RNA
GACAUUUGGUAGAGACUGUUGAAGCCACCUGGUCCCAGCAGACCCCGGAAGGCAGCCACAUUCGCUGGUGCUGGGGCAAGGUUGUUGAGGGUGAAGCCUGGUGCCAGAUGUGU